GCAUCGGUGGUUUAGUGGUAAAAUUAGCCGUUGCCAUGUGAUCAAUCAAUUCACUUUGGUUCGAUUACAGCAACUUCGGCUAGCCCCGGGUUCGAUUCCCGGCCGAUGCA